rnacentral:rRNA from 1 species
UACGGAGGAUCCAAGCGUUAUCCGGAUUCAUUGGGUUUAAAGGGUGCGUAGGCGGAAUGAUAAGUCAGUGGUGAAAUCCUGCAGCUUAACUGCAGAACUGCCAUUGAUACUGUCAAUCUUGAGUACAUUUGAUGUGGGCGGAAUGUGUCAUGUAGCGGUGAAAUGCUUAGAUAUGACACAGAACACCGAUUGCGAAGGCAGCUCACAAAAACUGUAACUGACGCUGAGGCACGAAAGCGUGGGGAUCAAACAGGA